UCGGCGUGGUCGGGUCAGCGGCCCGGGCAGCCCUUGGGACGGCUGCCUGUCCGUGCUCAGGGUUGGGACCGAUGGCCUCUCCUUUGUGACCUCAGGGACGUGUGUCCCGGGAGUCAUGUGCCCAGGGUGUGGCCCCCACACAAACUGUGAGGCGACAGCCUAAAGGGCUCGGGCGCCAGGCUGGGCUGUGGGGGGCUCCCCCUGUCCCGACCCUGGGGCCUGCCCCCGCCCUGUGGCAAAGGCCUCCUUCCUGGCCUAGGGUGAAGAAACGCAUUCCCGGCACAUACCAUCCGCUCUCGGUGGGGUUCACCUGCCUCCCGGAGCGCCCAGGUGGCGCCCAUCGCUAGUCUGAGCUGAGGAACAGCCAGACUGCUUCCGGGGUGCAGGGUCAGCCAGCCGGGGCCCCCACACCACAGCCGUGGAGCUGAGGAAGGCUGUAGAUCCCAGCUGCCUACGUUCAUCGGAUAGAGGACAUUCAGAACCCGGACUCCGGCCACGCGACGGCCGCUGGGCACCGCGCCCCGUGGACACUGCUUACGGACUGACCGAGGGAGACCGCUGACCGCUCCCUGGGGACGCCGCUGAUGGAACGAGGGAGUCCACUGACCGAGGGCACCCAGUUACUUCCCACCGUCUCCUCGUUCAUGCACACAGUUGCUUAAAAGUAUUUGUUGAGCCCCUGCAGAGGCCACCGGACACGGCCCUGUCCCCCAGAGCCCUCCCGGGAGACGCACACAGGCGCCACCACGAGGGCUGUGCCUUUUCUCUAGACACAGGCUCCUCAGUCGCUGUUCUUCAGGCUGAUUUCCAAGAGGCGCUCCCCUAGAUCUCAGAGGGCUCCUGGGGCACCGGGGCGGCUCAGUCGGUUAAGCGUCCGACUUCGGCUCAGGUCACCAUCUCACGGCUCCUGAGUUCGAGCCCCGCGUCGGGCUCCGUGCUGACAGCCCGGAGCCUGGAGCUGCUUCGGACUCUGUGUCUCCCUCUCUCUCUGCCCCUCCCCUGCUCAAGCUCUGUGUCUCUUUCCCUCAAAACUAAAUAAACAUGAAAAAAUCGUU